rnacentral:lncRNA from 1 species
CAGGCGGUCGAGGCCCCGGCGGCCGCCCCGCGCCCUGCAGCGCAGGAAAGGGCUCCUAAAAAAUAAAGAAAAAGAAAAAUUAAAAAAAAAGAAAAGAAAAAGCAUUACUGUCAAGCGACGGGCGAGGCGAGCCGGGAUUCCCGCGAGCAGCCAGAGCCUUUUUUAUUCGCGUCCUUCGGGUGCCGCGGGGGCGCCUUCUGCCCGCGCCGGUGCACGGGCGAAAUAGCGAAUAAAAAGGGGAUCGGCGUCCGCGCGCGCUCAUCCACGGGAGAGUCAAGCGUGCAACGAGUGCAAAUAGCCUUCCGGGGAGGGGAAACUACUGUGAGGCGUGACUGCGGUGUGCCCGGCCGGUGCUCGCAGCAGACUUCGACAGUCCCGUCGUUUGGAGUAAACGCUGCUUGCUUUCCCCUGUUUUUGAUGGCUUCAGGUCCAGAGGCCUCAACAGAAAGAAGACUCCCCAGUACCAAUCAUGAGAUGCUUGAGGGUGCCGACAUGUAUGAAGGAAAAUGCUUUCAAGCAGUUACAAGAAGUUAACUGUCUCAGCUCUUUCCAGAUAAAUUAGAGAAGAUGAAGAAUGUCUCUGAUUUAUAUCAGCUGCCAAUUGCCUUACACAAUUAAAGCAUGCAGGGAAGUACCACUGUGCUCUACGGUCCGCCAGGCACAGCCUGCCAUGGGGAUCUGCGCUCGAUGCUGCACGCGGGGAACUGAACAAGCAGUGUGCUCUACCUUGAGUCCUCGUGGGUAUCCAGGCUUACAGCAGUCUUGUGAGCAUCUCCUGUAAGGUUUUCUGAGUUUGUCAUCUGGGAUUGUACUAUCCAUAUACAGGAGCAGGAUUCUGUUUAUAGACUCUCAGCUUUGGUUUGGAGCUUUAAUAUCCGGGAGCGCAAGUAUCUCUUUCUCUCCACCUCAGCUCAUCUCAGAGCCUAUGUGCUCCAAGAUAGCACAGAGGGGCUCCUGUAAAGUCAAAAAAUGAUACGGCGGAAAAGGCACUCUCUCACUUCCUUCUCUCUUUUCCUUUGCAAAAAUUGUCUGGUUUCUCUGGCAGAGGAGAUGGGGAAGUCCUUUCAUUGUGUACUUAAUACAGUAAAUAUUUAUUAGAUGGUGAAAAUAAGCAAGCUAACUCCCUUAAAAUCUAUUUUCACAUUUACAUUUGUUUGAAGGAAAAUUUCUCUGAAACAUAACAGGAAAUGAAAUAGCAAUGCCCUCUUCCAUGUACAUUUAUUUCUUUGUAAGUAAAUUCAUCUAUUUACAUGCAUAUGUAUACAUAAUGAAGGAUAAUAAUGUAUAUACAUAAUAAAGGAUACUAAUGC